AUCAAAUGAAGCCCCCUAACUUUGUUUGAUAAUCCUAAACUUUUUCAUAAUAAUCUCCCAUAAAGGCCACCCAAUCUGGUGGUCUUUUU
rnacentral:sRNA from 16 species